rnacentral:rRNA from 1 species
UACGUAGGGUGCGAGCGUUGUCCGGAAUUAUUGGGCGUAAAGAGCUCGUAGGCGGUUUGUCGCGUCGGCCGUGAAAACUUGGGGCUUAACUCCAAGCUUGCGGUCGAUACGGGCAGACUUGAGUUCGGCAGGGGAGACUGGAAUUCCAGGUGUAGCGGUGAAAUGCGUAGAUAUCUGGAGGAACACCGGUGGCGAAGGCGGCAUCCUGGACCGAGAUUGACGCUGAGGCGCGAAAGCGAGGGGAGCAAACGGG